AACGAACGCUGGCGGCAUGCCUAACACAUGCAAGUCGAACGAGACCUUCGGGUCUAGUGGCGCACGGGUGCGUAACGCGUGGGAACCUGCCCUUAGGUUCGGAAUAACUCCCCGAAAGGGGUGCUAAUACCGGAUAAUGUCUUCGGACCAAAGAUUUAUCGCCUUUGGAUGGGCCCGCGUUGGAUUAGCUAGUUGGUAGGGUAAAAGCCUACCAAGGCGACGAUCCAUAGCUGGUCUGAGAGGAUGAUCAGCCACACUGGGACUGAGACACGGCCCAGACUCCUACGGGAGGCAGCAGUGGGGAAUAUUGGACAAUGGGCGAAAGCCUGAGCCAGCAAUGCCGCGUGAGUGAUGAAGGCCUUAGGGUUGUAAAGCUCUUUUACCAGGGAUGAUAAUGACAGUACCGGGAGAAUAAGCGCCGACUAACUCCGUG
rnacentral:rRNA from 1 species